AGAGAGAGACAUGCGCGCAUAUCAAUAAGCGGAGGAAAAGAAACUAACAAGGAUUCCCUUAGUAACGGCGAGUGAAGCGGGAAGAGCUCAAAUUUGAAAUCUUCAAGGUUCUACCUUGACGAAUUGUAGUUUAUAGAAGUGUUUUCUGUUUGGAGUGGCUAAAAGUUCUUUGGAAUAGGACAUCAUAGAGGGUGAGAAUCCCGUAUUUGGUCAUUCCUCCUAGCGUUGUGAUACACUUUCAACGAGUCGGAUUGUUUGGGAAUGCAGUCCAAAAUGGGUGGUAAAUUUCAUCUAAAGCUAAAUAUUGGCGAGAGACCGAUAGCGAACAAGUACCGUGAGGGAAAGAUGAAAAGAACUUUGAAAAGAGAGUUAAACAGUACGUGAAAUUGUCAAAAGGGAAGCGUUUGACACCAGUGUUGUUUUUCCGAAAAUCAAUUACGAAUGUUUUGUUUUUGAGGAGUUAUGACUUCAUCGGCUUGCUCCUUUCUUUACGAAACUUUCUUAAUGCACUUUUCGGUUAACAAGUCAACAUCAAUUUCUUUUGUUGUAAAAGAGUCAUUGAGGAAGGUGGCUUUCUUUUCGGAGAAAGUGUUUAUAGCCUUUGUACUUCUGCAAUCGGAGAGAUUGAGGUCUGCAGCGUAGACUCUUCGGGGUUAGAUACAUUUGUGCUAAGUUAUAGCUUGUCAUAGACAACUUGUUGACUAUGUUUAGUCUUGUAGCUUACUCGCUUAUGCUAUUUUACCUACGCUUAGGAUGUUGAUCUGUAGUGCGUGCGC
rnacentral:rRNA from 1 species